rnacentral:misc_RNA from 1 species
CGUUGAGCUGCAUGAAUUGGUCUAUGGCAACCAGCAACAAUUUGGAGGUCUGAAGAGUUUCAAUGGAAUGGACAUGGCCAACGGCGGAUAUGUUACAAAUGGGGCUAUUAGCUCUGGGGAAAGCACCACCUGGGGAAAUGUAAGCUCCCUGGCUUAUCCUCAACUUGUUUCUGAGCUUGAAACUUGCCUACAAAGCCUGCCACAAGAUCAUUCGUCCUUCGAAGUUUCCAGUUACUUUGGGCCACAAUAACAGUACUGCUCUAGUACUAUACGGG